AGCGAACGCUGGCGGCAGGCUUAACACAUGCAAGUCGAGCGGGCGUAGCAAUACGUCAGCGGCAGACGGGUGAGUAACGCGUGGGAACGUACCUUUUGGUUCGGAACAACACAGGGAAACUUGUGCUAAUACCGGAUAAGCCCUUACGGGGAAAGAUUUAUCGCCGAAAGAUCGGCCCGCGUCUGAUUAGCUAGUUGGUGAGGUAACGGCUCACCAAGGCGACGAUCAGUAGCUGGUCUGAGAGGAUGAUCAGCCACAUUGGGACUGAGACACGGCCCAAACUCCUACGGGAGGCAGCAGUGGGGAAUAUUGGACAAUGGGGGCAACCCUGAUCCAGCCAUGCCGCGUGAGUGAUGAAGGCCCUAGGGUUGUAAAGCUCUUUUGUGCGGGAAGAUAAUGACGGUACCGAAAGAAUAAGCCCCUGCUAACUUCGUG
rnacentral:rRNA from 1 species